GAUGAACGCUAGCUACAGGCUUAACACAUGCAAGUCGAGGGGCAGCAUGGUCUUAGCUUGCUAAGGCCGAUGGCGACCGGCGCACGGGUGAGUAACACGUAUCCAACCUGCCGUCUACUCUUGGACAGCCUUCUGAAAGGAAGAUUAAUACAAGAUGGCAUCAUGAGUCCGCAUGUUCACAUGAUUAAAGGUAUUCCGGUAGACGAUGGGGAUGCGUUCCAUUAGAUAGUAGGCGGGGUAACGGCCCACCUAGUCUUCGAUGGAUAGGGGUUCUGAGAGGAAGGUUCCCCACAUUGGAACUGAGACACGGUCCAAACUCCUACGGGAGGCAGCAGUGAGGAAUAUUGGUCAAUGGGCGAGAGCCUGAACCAGCCAAGUAGCGUGAAGGAUGACUGCCCUAUGGGUUGUAAACUUCUUUUAUAAAGGAAUAAAGUCGGGUAUGGAUACCCGUUUGCAUGUACUUUAUGAAUAAGGAUCGGCUAACUCCGUGCCAGCAGCCGCGGUAAUACGGAGGAUCCGAGCGUUAUCCGGAUUUAUUGGGUUUAAAGGGAGUGUAGAUGGAUAUUUAAGUCAGUUGUGAAAGUUUGCGGCUCAACCGUAAAAUUGCAGUUGAUACUGGAUAUCUUGAGUGCAGUUGAGGCAGGCGGAAUUCGUGGUGUAGCGGUGAAAUGCUUAGAUAUCACGAAGAACUCCGAUUGCGAAGGCAGCCUGCUAA
rnacentral:rRNA from 1 species